AUUGAACGCUGGCGGCAUGCCUUACACAUACAUGUCGAACGGCAGCGGGGACUUCGGUCCGUCGGCGAGUGGCGAACGGGGGAGUAAUGCAUCGGAACGUACCAUUCAGUGGGGGAUCACUAUCCGAAAUGAUAGCUAAUACCGUAGAUUCUGUGAGCAGGAAAGCAGGGUAUCGCAUGACCUGUCGCUGAUUGCGCGGCAGGUAUCAGAUUAGCUAGUUGGUGAGGUAAAGGCUCACCAAGGCGACGAUCUGUGGCGGGUCUGAGAGGAUGACACGCCACACUGGAACUGAGACACGGUCCAGACUCCUACGGGAGGCAGCAGUGGGGAAUUUUGGACAAUGGGGGCAACCCUGAUCCAGCCAUGCCGCGUGAGUGAAGAAGGCCUUCGGGUUGUAAAGCUCUUUCGGCCGGGAAAAAAUCGCAUGGGUUAAUACCCUGUGUAGAUGAUGGUACCGGAAUAAGAAGCACCGGCUAACUACGUGCCAGCCGCCGCAGUAAAAC
rnacentral:rRNA from 1 species